rnacentral:rRNA from 1 species
UACGUAGGGGGCAAGCGUUGUCCGGAUUUAUUGGGCGUAAAGAGCGUGUAGGCGGCCAUGUAGGUCCGUUGUGAAAACUCGAGGCUCAACCUCGAGACGCCGAUGGAAACCAUGUGGCUAGAGUCCGGAAGAGGAGAGUGGAAUUCCUGGUGUAGCGGUGAAAUGCGCCAGAUAUCAGGAAGAACACCCGUGGCUAAGGCGGCAUGCUCUAGUACGGUACUGACGCUGGAGACGCG